AACGAACGCUGGCGGCAGGCUUAACACAUGCAAGUCGAACGCAUCCUUCGGGGUGAGUGGCAGACGGGUGAGUAACGCGUGGGAUCGUGCCCUUCAGUUCGGAAUAACCCAGGGAAACUUGGGCUAAUACCGGAUACGUGCGAGAGCAGAAAGAUUUAUCGCUGAAGGAUCGGCCCGCGUCUGAUUAGCUAGUUGGUGAGGUAAUGGCUCACCAAGGCGACGAUCAGUAGCUGGUCUGAGAGGAUGAUCAGCCACAUUGGGACUGAGACACGGCCCAGACUCCUACGGGAGGCAGCAGUGGGGAAUCUUGCGCAAUGGGCGAAAGCCUGACGCAGCCAUGCCGCGUGAAUGGUGAAGGUCUUAGGAUUGUAAAAUUCUUUCACCGGGGACGAUAAUGACGGUACCCGGAGAAGAAGCCCCGGCUAACUUCGUGCCAGCCGCCGCCGUAA
rnacentral:rRNA from 1 species